rnacentral:rRNA from 1 species
AGAGUUAAACAGUACGUGAAAUUGUUGAAAGGGAAACGAUUGAAGCCAAUCGUACUUCGGGAAAUCAACUUCUCGAGUGCUUGUCGUGGAUGACGUUGAGCUUCACGGCCUUCGUUGCUUGCGUUAUGGUGCUUUUGAGGUGUACUUUUCCGUAGACAGUCAACAUCGAUUUUGGUCGUCAUAAAAUGAUCGGAGGAAUGUGGCUCUGAUCUCGUAUCGGAGUGUUAUAGCCUUUGGUAGAUGUGACGAUUGGGAUCGAGGAUUGCAACGAAUACCCUUUGGGCUAUCCGUCUGACCUCUGAAAGUCGCUCGGGUGUUGAAAGCGUGCUUAUGACAUUCUAGUUGGCGGUCAAAAGGUUAGAACGCGAUUACAUUCGUUAAGGAUGUUGACAUAAUGGCUUUAAACGACC